rnacentral:ribozyme from 2 species
GUCGUAAUGCAGCCGUUGCCACGUGCCAAGUCGUGGAUUAGAAAUGCAGAGGCGGAA